rnacentral:rRNA from 1 species
GAUGAACGCUAGCGGCAGGCCUAAUACAUGCAAGCCGAACGGCAAGUUGAGUAGCAAUACUUGACCUAGAGUGGCGUAAGGGUGCGUAACACGUAUGCAAUCUACCCGCAACAGGAGGAUAGCUCUCCGAAAGGGGAAUUAAGCCUCCAUGGGAUCAUGGGGUGGCAUCACUCCAUGAUUAAACUACCAGGGGUUGUGGAUGAGCAUGCGCAUGAUUAGUUAGUUGGCGGGUAACGGCCACCAAGACGAUGA